GAUGAACGCUGGCGGCGUGCCUAAUACAUGCAAGUCGAGCGAACAUACCAGGAGCUUGCUCCUCUGACGUUAUCGGCGGUCGGGUUAUUAACUCCUCGAUAACCUACCUAUAAGACUGUGAUAACUUUGGGAAACCGGUGCUAAUACCGGAUAAUAUAUUGAACCGCAUUGUUCCAUCGUUAAAGACGGUUUUGCUUUCACUUAUAGCUUACUCCGCGCCGCAUUAGCUAGUUGGUUAGGUAACGGCUUACCAAGGCAACGAUGCGUAGCCGACCUGAGAGGGUGAUCCGCCACAUGGGAAAUGAGACAGGGUCCAGACACCUACGGUAGGAAGCAGUAGAGAAUCUUACGCGAGGGGCGAGAGCCGGACAGAGCAAAGCCGCGGGAGUGAUGAAGGUCUUAGGAUCGGAAAACGCUGUAAGUAGGGAAGAAGAAAUGUGUAAGUAACGAGGAAGGUCAUGACGGUACCUAAACAAAAAGCCACGGCUAACUACGUG
rnacentral:rRNA from 1 species